AAGUCGUAACAAGGUCUCCGUAGGUGAACCUGCGGAGGGAUCAUCAAAGGAUUUUUCCAAAGAAAAAAAUUGAGUGUUGCUUUCUAUCUCUGUAAAAAGAGGGGUGAGUGCACACUCUUUUUUUUUCUCCAAACAAACGAUCACAACUAAUGAAACAAGAAAUUUGAUUUGGUUUGAUUGGAAAAUUGAUUUGGCCUACUAAACGAAAAGAAGUGUUUGCCUGAUAAUCUAAUGAUUUGGAAAAACAAGAGAAAUACAACUUUCAACAACGGAUCUCUUGGCUCUCA
rnacentral:misc_RNA from 1 species